UGGGGAAUAUUGCACAAUGGGCGAAAGCCUGAUGCAGCAACGCCGCGUGAGUGAUGAAGGUCUUCGGAUUGUAAAGCUCUGUCUUUUGGGACGAUAAUGACGGUACCAAAGGAGGAAGCCACGGCUAACUACGUGCCAGCAGCCGCGGUAAUACGUAGGUGGCGAGCGUUGUCCGGAUUUACUGGGCGUAAAGGGUGCGUAGGCGGAUGUUUAAGUGAGAUGUGAAAUACCCGGGCUUAACUUGGGUGCUGCAUCUCAAACUGGAUAUCUAGAGUGCAGGAGAGGAGAAUGGAAUUCCUAGUGUAGCGGUGAAAUGCGUAGAGAUUAGGAAGAACACCAGUGGCGAAGGCGAUUCUCUGGACUGUAACUGACGCUGAGGCACGAAAGCGUGGGUAGCAAACAGGAUUAGAUACCCUGGUAGUCCACGCCGUAAACGAUGAGUACUAGGUGUAGGAGGUAUCGACCCCUUCUGUGCCGCAGUAAACACAUUAAGUACUCCGCCUGGGAAGUACGAUCGCAAGAUUAAAACUCUAAAGUGAAUUGACGGGGUC
rnacentral:rRNA from 1 species